rnacentral:rRNA from 1 species
UACGGAGGGUGCAAGCGUUAUCCGGAUUCACUGGGCUUAAAGGGUGCGUAGGCGGACAGGUAAGUCAGUGGUGAAAUCUCCGAGCUUAACUCGGAAACUGCCUUUGAUACUCUCUGUCUUGAAUAUGGUGGAGGUAAGCGGAAUAUGUCAUGUAGCGGUGAGAUGCUUAGAGAUGACAUAGAACACCUAUUGCGAAGGCAGCUUACUACGCCUAUAUUGACGCUGAGGCACGAAAGCGUGGGGAUCAAACAGG